rnacentral:tRNA from 1 species
CUGGGCCCGUUGGUCAAGCGGUUAAGACACCGCCCUUUCACGGCGGUAACACGGGUUCGAAUCCCGUACGGG